UACGUAGGGGGCAAGCGUUGUCCGGAAUCAUUGGGCGUAAAGGGUGCGUAGGCGGCGCGGUAAGUCGGGUGUGAAAUCUCGGGGCUUAACUCCGAAACUGCAUUCGAUACUGCCGUGCUUGAGGACUGGAGAGGAGACUGGAAUUUACGGUGUAGCGGUGAAAUGCGUAGAUAUCGUAAGGAAGACCAGUGGCGAAGGCGGGUCUCUGGACAGUUCCUGACGCUGAGGCACGAAGGCCAGGGGAGCAAACGGG
rnacentral:rRNA from 1 species